rnacentral:rRNA from 1 species
AUUGAACGCUGGCGGCAGGCCUAACACAUGCAAGUCGAGCGGAUGAAGGGAGCUUGCUCCUGGAUUCAGCGGCGGACGGGUGGGUAAUGCCUAGGAAUCUGCCUGGUCGUGGGGGAUAACGUCCGGAAACGGGCGCUAAUACCGCAUACGUCCAGAGGGAGAAAGUGGGGGAUCUUCGGACCUCACGCUAUCAGAUGAGCCUAGGUCGGAUUAGCUAGUUGGUGGGGUAAAGGCCUACCAAGGCGACGAUCCGUAACUGGUCUGAGAGGAUGAUCAGUCACACUGGAACUGAGACACGGUCCAGACUCCUACGGGAGGCAGCAGUGGGGAAUAUUGGACAAUGGGCGAAAGCCUGAUCCAGCCAUGCCGCGUGUGUGAAGAAGGUCUUCGGAUUGUAAAGCACUUUAAGUUGGGAGGAAGGGCAGUAAGUUAAUACCUUGCUGUUUUGACGUUACCAACAGAAUAAGCACCGGCUAACUUCGUG